rnacentral:rRNA from 1 species
GACGAACGCUGGCGGUGUGCUUAACACAUGCAAGUCGAACGGUAAGGCCCUUCGGGGGUACCCGAGUGGCGAACGGGUGAGUAACACGUGAGUAACCUGCCCUCAUCUCUGGGAUAACAGUCGGAAACGGUUGCUAAUACUGGAUAUGAGCUUGCAAGGCAUCUUGUGGGUUGGAAAGAUUUUUUUUGGUUGGGGAUGGACUCGCGGCCUAUCAGCUUGUUGGUGAGGUAGUGGCUCACCAAGGCUUCGACGGGUAGCCGGCCUGAGAGGGCGACCGGCCACAUUGGGACUGGGAUACGGCCCAAACUCCUACGGGAGGCAGCAGUGGGGAAUAUUGCACAAUGGACGGAAGUCUGAUGCAGCAACGCCGCGUGCGGGAUGACGGCCUUCGGGUUGUAAACCGCUUUCAAUUGUGACGAAGCUUUUUUGUGACGGUAGCAGUAGAAGAAGCACCGGCUAACUACGUG